rnacentral:rRNA from 1 species
CCUACGGGUGGCAGCAGUGGGGAAUAUUGCACAAUGGGGGAAACCCUGAUGCAGCGACGCCGCGUGAGUGAAGAAGUACUUCGUUAUGUAAAGCUCUAUCAGCAGGGAAGAAAAUGACGGUACCUGAGUAAGAAGCCCCGGCUAACUACGUGCCAGCAGCCGCGGUAAUACGUAGGGGGCACGCGUUACCCGGAUUUACUGGGUGGAAAGGGAGCGUAGACGGCAGUGCAAGUCUGGAGUGAAAGGCGGGGGCUCAACCCCCGGACUGCUCUGGAAACUGUACGGCUGGAGUGCAGGAGAGGUAAGUGGAAUUCCUAGUGUAGCGGUGAAAUGCGUAGAUAUUAGGAGGAACACCAGUGGCGAAGGCGACUUACUGGACUGUAACUGACGUUGAGGCUCGAAAGCGUGGGGAGCAAACAGGAUUAGAUACCCCUGUAGUC